rnacentral:rRNA from 1 species
UACGAAGGGGGCUAGCGUUGCUCGGAAUCACUGGCGUAAAGGGUGCGUAGGCGGGUCUUUAAGUCAGGGGUGAAAUCCUGGAGCUCAACUCCAGAACUGCCUUUGAUACUGAGGAUCUUGAGUUCGGGAGAGGUGAGUGGAACUGCGAGUGUAGAGGUGAAAUUCGUAGAUAUUCGCAAGAACACCAGUGGCGAAGGCGGCUCACUGGCCCGAUACUGACGCUGAGGCACGAAAGCGUGGGAGGCAAACAGGG